rnacentral:tRNA from 1 species
GCCUACAUAGCUCAGUGGUAGAGCACUUCCUUGGUAAGGAAGAGGUCACCAGUUCAAGUCUGGUUGUAGGCU